rnacentral:misc_RNA from 1 species
AAGAACCACUGAAAGGGAGAAUACACAGAAAAAUGAUACCAGAUUUCAGUACUAGAUUUCAAAAUUACCAUAAAAAACUUAGCACUAUAUUGCAGCGGAUGGAUGUCCGAUUGAAUAACUUAUUAAAUCACUUUGUAUCAACUUAUUAAUGACUUUAGAGACCUUUGUUUGGAUAGACAGUAGAUAUGGUACCUUUAAAGCUUUUGCAAGGGCAAG